AUAACUUCGAAAGUUAGAGGUGCACGCCCGGGGUCGAACCCCAGACCCCCGACUAGGAGGUGGUCGUC